AACUUUUAUUUUUAGGAAUCAAAAGCCUUUGAUUCUUUCUCCUUUCUUUAGGUGCAUGCAUCAACAGGAAGACAGUGAAAAGGUCGUAGACAAGAAGAAACUUUACUAGACACACUUUAGAAUGUAGAAGUUUCAACUCACCAAUUUUAAUUUAGAUGUUCAGUAUUUAUAAGAAAUUAUUUCAAUACAAGCAUAAUGAAAUGAAGAUGGCCACUUAAUGGAGAAGAGAGUCAACAGAAAGGGGAAAGAAGAGAAAAGGGGCAGCCAGGCAAGAGGAGGGCAACAGACUCAGCUGAGAAGGGAGAAGAGCCCCUCACCGGGUCCCUGCAGGUCCUAAUGGCCAUAACUCCAUCCAGCUUGGAUGUUCCAUUCACUCAGAAGCUUAUCAAAGUCAUUCACCUAUCAAAAUUUCUUUGGUCAGAUCCUACUUGCAUGAAGAAACCUUCACCCUUUUUUCUUCUUCCAACCCGUUUUGCAGACCCUUCUGUCCUUAGCUCAACCUUUUCUUGCUUCCAUGAUAUGGGAGGAAGAGAAUGUGUCCUGCCAAGUGGCCUGUACAAACCAACCCACACUGGCUCUGGCUCAAAAUAUCUUCUCCUGGGCGGGUACCAAGAGGAAGAAGAAAGGAAAGAAUAAGAGAAAAUGAAAAGCAAAGCAAAACAAAACACCCAAAUAAUUUUUCAAAUGUUUAAUAAAUAUUUCCAAAGAUUUGUCAAAGACUUAACUUUAGAGAUUAAGCUCACAUUAUAAUUUAUAAUUGCAAAAGAAAAAUAGACCAAACCAACAAACAAAACAAAAUAAAACAAAACCAGAGGCUCCUGCCAUUGGCCUUCAGAGUAAAAGAAAAAUAAAGAAUUAAUUUUGUGUGGUGUUUUUAUUUUGAAUUUGGGUUUGCGUUUUUGAGAUAAGGUCUUGGUGUGUAGUUCAGGCUGGCCUUCAAUCACUGUGAUCCCCCUGGCUCAGCCUGCUGAGUGCUGGAAUUAAAGAUGUGUGGCACGACCAGCUCAGAGUAAAUAAUUAAGGAUGACAUUUAACAGAAAAGGCAUAUUGGCUUUGGAUUUAUAGUUGAAAAAAUCUGAUCGUCGGGGAUUGUUCCACCCAUUAGAAUGUAUCUAUUGUGAAUUGUUUCCUAUAGUCAGAGUUUCAGAGUUCAUAGGUUUAUAGCUUUUUUCAAGUGAUACUUAGAUACUCUGUGUUCUAAAUUUUUUUGGAUUAUUUUCUUGGUUGGUGAAACCUUUUCCUCUUUACUGUUGUUUCAGUCUUUGAUAAUGAGUUACACUAUGAAAUGCUGGGUUGACUAUGAAAUGUCAAAAACCUGUAUAUCUGGAGGAGGAGACAGCAUGCAUUUUGGUUUUUCAGAUAGAAUGUAGUUGUAGGUUCAAAAUCCAAAUGAUUGUAGAUUUAGGACUUUAUGCCUUAAACAAAUUAAUUGGUUGGGUAGUACCUUUUUAUGCUUUUUACUUUUCUCUUGAAUUCCAUAAAUAUUUUUUAACUUCUAGGAGGCAGAAAUGACUUGAAAAUAUGGUAUAGUCACUUUGUGAAUUAAUGAAAAAAUGUUAAUUUAAUUAUAAUGUAGAAAUUAUUCAAUUCUGGAAGGCAAAUUGGACUUUAUAUGUGAUGUGAUAAUGAAACUUUUCCAGUGGUAAUAAUAGUGACUACUACUAAUUAUCAAAAUUUAGUACAACAUAAUGUGUAUAAGAUUGUACCUUGAAUUAGCCUAAUUGUUUGAAGGGUUUUUGGCCUAUUAGCCUGGCUGUUAAUCUGUAUGUAGGAUAAUUAACUUGAUAAUUAACUUUAUAAGGAUUUAUAAGUAAAUGAAUCUGAUGAUGCAAAAUACAGGGAGGAGGGAAAGGGAAAAAAGAAUUGAAAGUGUUACGUGCAUAUUCCAAUUCACAACAAUGAUUGCAAUAAUUAUAUACUGCAAAUGUACUAAUAAAAAUUUGAAAAAGGAAAAAUUGUAACAGCAUCUUGAGGUGUACAUACAUAUGAAGGCAAAUUUCAGUGACUAAUACUAAAAGAUUAAUAUUCUCUCAUUUUGUUAAAUGUAGUGAGCACUGAAACUAAUUAUGUUGCCUCCAAUUAUACUGCCUGGAAUAAAAUAUCUAGUUUGGCUAAAAGUAUUAACUUUUUAAUUAAAAGAUCAGUUACAGUUACUAUCACUACAAAGCAGCUAGUUUUAAAAACUGUGAACUUACCAGGCUGCUUAAAUACGAAGAACUUUUUAAAACUUCUGAAAUGUAGUGUAUCAUUUAAUAAAUGUUUAUUACUUGUCUGCUCUGUGCCCAGCUAUUCAAAUUUAAAACACAAGGUCUGUAGCAUCAAGGAGCUGGUGGACAAGUAAGUAGGUUGAUGUGCAAAAGCUUUCAAUAAUAAGAUAAAUACACAGUGUACAUUGGUAACAAAGGGGAAGUGACUUAGCAUGCCUGAAACAAUCAGGAAAACCUGCAGAGAAAAUUAGAAUUUAUGCAAAAGCUUAAAGGUCAAACAGGAGUUUUCAUUGUAGAGAAAUGAAUGGUUUUCUUGUGCAGGGAAUUUCUUCUCUCCUUGAAGGAAAGGGAGUGUAUCAGUCAAGGUCAAGUCAGAAAAGCAAGAGCCAGGACUUUCAGUGGGAGAAAUUUAAUAAAAAAAUAAAAUUAAAAAGUAUUGGAACAGUAAAAGCAAAACCAGGGUGUGAGGUGAGAAAAACAUAAGAUUAACAACUGUAGGAGGUCACUAACAUCCCUAAGACUAGAUGAAUGAAAGGAAGAAAGUAUUAGCAAGCUCAAGAUGAUGGGAACCUUGUGGAAUCUGGGGACUGUGGAGGUCAUUCAGUCACUGCUGGAGACAUAGCUUGAGGCAGAGUUCGAGAACACAGAUGUUCCUGCAAGGCAGAUGGCAAGGGGGCCUGGGAAAUACUAUUUUGAGAGAGUAGUGUCUUGUAUGUAAAGCAAAGCAAAAGAAACAUAAAUAAUCCAAGAUUAAAGAGACAACUAGUCAACGUAAGGGAGCUUAGUGAACAGUAAAAAUAAAAUUAGGAGUUAUCUCUUUAAAACAAGACAAAUAGGCUUUAUUGGCCAUUUAAAAGAGUUUGGGUUUUACCCAACAGUCAUUUUAGAAAAUUUUCAAAUAAUUUUAAGCAGGAGAAAGCUAAGCUAAGUUUAAGUUAGAUGCUUUUGAAAACACUGGGGUAAGUAAAGUUAACAGGCAGAAAAAGACAUAGUGUGGGAUCUCCUGCACAGUGGAAAGUCUUCAACUGGCAUAAUGACAAGGAGGAUGGAGAGGGAGCCUAGAUUCUUUGAAAGGCCCAGGUGGUUAGGGAUGUGAAGGACAGGAAAGGCAGAUAGCAUAAAUUUUGGAGUCCACAGAAAGGAAAUCCAGGAUUUGGGCCUGGGAGGUGAAGGGGCCACGACAAUCCACAGGGUUUACAGUCAAUUUAGGAAGAAUGAAGUCUUUGGUUGCCACGUCUGCCACUAACUAUAAUUUUCCUGAGAAUGUAAGUAACUUCAAAGUCAGGUGCAUAAAAGACACAUGGAAUUAAGUAGCAAUGGUUAUUUUUCUGCUUCUGUCCCAUUCUGAUGAUAACUUAGGUUACAUCUUAAGUUUUUUGGGGGGACUUUAUCCUUUGGUUAUUCUUUUGAGUGCUUUUUCUUUGGUUUGGUUUAACACAGUGACUUAUGGUUAGAGCUGCUGCUUUGAAAAAAAUCAUUAAUUGUCCAACGCCUUCGUGGUAUAUUGUAUUAGAAGAAUAUUAAAUACUCAAAUUUAUU
ensembl:lincRNA